GCCAGAAAUUAGAAAUAAACUCAGCAAACUCAACAAACUGAAAACGCUGGGUCAGAGACCCAGGACCAUGAAAGAGGUUCAUCAUUUGCUGGUGAAUGCUCCAGUUUCUAAGGACCAAAAAUUGUUGAUGCCAAAAGGGGGAAUUCACCCACACAGUGGGUGACCUCAAACAUCAGCCUUAUGCCUGGUCCUGACAGGCUGCAGUCUCACUCUCCCACACCCACACCUGGCUGAGUUCAGCUGGGGCAGAGGCGGCACUGCCCAUCUUUCCAGGGAGGAUCCCUUCAGACACAACAACAAACAUGCACUCAGACUGAGCGGUGUUGAGGUAUAUGAGGCUGUGCUGAGGAGUGUUUUAUUCCUAUGGGCCCCCUGAGGCCCCAAGGCCUGGUCCAAGAGAAAGACCAGAAGCUGUUUCAACUUCCUCCACUGUUUUUUUGCAUGGAACACCACUUCAAACACUGUACGUCAAAGCACGUAGCUACACACACAACACAUGAAUACAGCAUGUUUUUAUUACACAAACUGCCCACAAAAUUAAAGCUGUUUUUUACGUGGGGUUUCUAAAAUAAAGACAUGACUACGCAUUAUUUUAGCCUUGAACAACAACCUUUUUUCUUUUCCCCUUUUAUAAAAAGACAGCUUAAAACUGAGCUUUUUGUAUGGUUCAGAUGUUCUAAAGUGAAAAAUUUGCAGUGACGUUUGAAUGAAGGAGUGAACUGAUAUGAUUUUGGCAGGUAAAAUAAUCAAGCAAGUGUUUGCUGAUGUUAUGCUGCUGAGCUUUCAAUAAAAUCUAUUUCGAGCUACUUAUAUUGUUAAAUAUACAUUUCUUUAAGUAGAGUAUGGGGAUCUGUACUUCUUUUCAGCUCAGCUUAGUUAUAUACUACGUGUUAUUUUUUUCAGUAGUGGAAGAAAUGUUAAGAUUGGUUACCAGUUACACAAAGUUAAUAUCUUUAAAAAUAAAUAAAAAAGCCCUGUAAACUACACACACACUCCACACAAGUAAUACAUAUCCAGAAUUGUACUUUAUUAUUUUAUUCAGACAUGUUCAGUUUGCUAAAUACAUAAAGACAAUUCCUUUAAAAUAUAACAAUCAUGCGUUUUGCAUUUAAAAUCUUCAUAUUGAUAGCUAGUGCUGUAAAAACUACAGUAAAACUGUAAGACACUAUCAUAAAAUCAGAUAUAUAACGAUAUAAACAUUUGUAUAAUAUGGUUUAUUGUUUCCAUUUUAGGAAAUAUUGGAUAUCUGAGUUUCCCUAGACGGCAUUUCUUGCUUUCAAGAUAAAACAACUUUAGAAUGUAACUGUUAAAAGAUAAAAUCCCCAAAGAGUAAUUUGUGCUAAAUAUAAUAUAGAAAAUAUGAGUCCAGAGGUAACUGAUGAUAUAUGGUGAUAUGCUUUACAGUGUUUAAUAUUAGACUGUAGCAGUAAACGGAGUCCAGUAAACUGGUACUGUAGAGCAGGAGAGCAGCAAGCUCCCAGAAUGGAUUUUGUUAGCGUCUCUAAAGCCCCUGGAGCCACAACACUGACCUUUCCUGUUAUGGAAAUGUACUGCUGGCUGUUCUAGGCCCACAGCCACACGCUGCCUGUUUGAAUGGUCACACAGGCCCCCUUCUGCUGCCUGCCUCUUUCCUGAGGACUGCUUUUGCUGUUUGUGCUGCUCUGUGAGCGCAAGUUCAUAGAGCAUUGUUCAACAUAAUGGGCACAACUUGUUCCCUUUUUAUGUUAUUCUGUCUUUAUUUUGGCACCCUUUUACUCUACGGCAUGGCACAAUUGAGUGGAAUUUUACUUUGAACAACCCAAUAAAUAAAGCCUGCUUCUAUCUGUGUGUGUGUUGGAUGCAAACCAGUUAAUACGUGACUCGAAAUAAAAAAAAUUUAAAAAUCGAGAUCGUAGAGUGUUUACUGAUCAUCUUGCAGUUCGCUUCAAGGCGCCUGCCUCCUUCCAGCCGGUCGCUGCGAUUAUGGGCUAAACUGGGGCAAAUGAAGUGACAUGUUUUCCUUUGCAAUGAAAACAUAGCUGUGUUAAUACUUGCAUACAACCGAGAAGCAGCGCUAUGCUCUGUCCGCCAUUAUCUGAACUUUCCAUGUGUGAUGUGAUUACAAAGCAAUUUGCUUCUUGACAAUCUGACCCAAGAAAAACACCUACUUUAUUAAAACAAAACAAAUUACCCAAUUUGGGCCAAAAGACACAGAACUGAAUGGUUUAGCAGCCUUCAAUACAUCACAUGGGUGGAUUAUUAUAAACAAAUGGAGGCUUUAGGAGUAAAUCAGAGAACACAGAACAUGAUCCGUAUCAUGACGUUGAUUGUAGCGGUCCUCUAAAACUAAAAGUCUUAAAGAAACUGAGUUGAACCAAGCUAUUUAAGCCAAUGUUUCUCAGUGUCAUAAUUUUAGUAAAGCAUACACAAAAUUUCCUACACUGUUUGGUAUCUAUGUCCCCCAUUUUAAAAAGGUACUUUUUAUUUUAUCCUGUGUAGCGUAGAAUGAACUUCAAUUUUCUACAAAGCUAGCAGAAGCAUGCAAAGAGUUUUUGUAUAAUAUUGGGGCUUUAUACAUCAUUUAAAAAUGAAACAAAUUGCACCCCAGGGAAUUAAACAAUGUUGGAUUACAUACAAAACAAGCUACCUUGUAAAAUAAAUGUUCUUUGAUUGAUGUGGCUUAAAUUAGAGAGAUCUUCAGCAGUGUUUCCAACACGUUCUGUAUAAAUGGGAUUUUAAAGACAACGCUUUUGGCUAGAGAGCUGUAACCACAAGAAAGCCUCCUCAAGCAACGGGGAUUAAACACUGUGAUAUAAACAAUGAUCAGCCUUUCUGUGCUUGUAAAAAUAGAUUUACUAAACAUCUUGCCAGCAGGAAUUUGUGUUAA